rnacentral:tRNA from 1 species
AUUUAUAUAGUUUAAAAAAAACACUACAUUUUCAUUGUAAAAUUAGAUUAUAUUUUCUUAUAAAUA